AGAGUUUGAUCAUGGCUCAGAACGUACGCUGGCGGCACGCCUAACACAUGCAAGUCGAACGAAGUAGCAAUACUUAGUGGCAGACGGGUGAGUAACAUGUAGGUAUCUGCCCUUUGGCCUGGAAUAACACGAGGAAACUUGUGCUAAUACCGGAUAAGUCUUUACGGAGAAAGCUUUAUGCACCAUUGGAUGAGCCUGCACUUGAUUAGUUUGUUGGUGGGGUAAUGGCCUACCAAGACUGUGAUCAAUAGCUGAUUUGAGAGGAUGAUCAGCCACAUUGGGACUGAGACACGGCCCAAACUCCUACGGGAGGCAGCAGUGGGGAAUCUUGCACAAUGGAGGAAACUCUGAUGCAGCGAUGCCGCGUGAGUGAAGAAGGCCUUUGGGUUGUAAAGCUCUUUCGUCGGGGAAGAAAAUGACUGUACCCGAAUAAGAAGGUCCGGCUAACUUCGUGCCAGCAGCCGCGGUAAUACGAAGGGACCUAGCGUAGUUCGGAAUUACUGGGCUUAAAGAGUUCGUAGGUGGUUGAAAAAGUUAGUGGUGAAAUCCCAGAGCUUAACUCUGGAACUGCCAUUAAAACUUUUCAGCUAGAGUAUGAUAGAGGAAAGCAGAAUUUCUAGUGUAGAGGUGAAAUUCGUAGAUAUUAGAAAGAAUACCAAUUGCGAAGGCAGCUUUCUGGAUCAUUACUGACACUGAGGAACGAAAGCAUGGGUAGCGAAGAGGAUUAGAUACCCUCGUAGUCCAUGCCGUAAACGAUGUGUGUUAGACGUUGGAAAUUUAUUUUCAGUGUCGCAGCGAAAGCGAUAAACACACCGCCUGGGGAGUACGACCGCAAGGUUAAAACUCAAAUGAAUUGACGGGGACCCGCACAAGUAGUGGAGCAUGUGGUUUAAUUCGAAGAUACGCGCAGAACCUUACCAACACUUGACAUGUUCGUCGCGACUUUAAGAGAUUAAAGUUUUCGGUUCGGCCGGACGAAACACAGGUGCUGCAUGGCUGUCGUCAGCUCGUGUCGUGAGAUGUUGGGUUAAGUCCCGCAACGAGCGCAACCCUCACUUUUAGUUGCCAUCAUUAAGUUGGGCACUCUGAAAGAACUGCCAGUGAUAAGCUGGAGGAAGGUGGGGAUGACGUCAAGUCCUCAUGGCCCUUACGUGUUGGGCUACACACGUGCUACAAUGGUAUCUACAACAGGAAGCAAGACUGCGAGGUCAAGCAAAUCCUUAAAAGAUACCUCAGUUCGGAUUGCACUCUGCAACUCGAGUGCAUGAAGCUGGAAUUACUAGUAAUCGUGGAUCAGCGUGCCACGGUGAAUGCGUUCCCGGGUCUUGUACACACCGCCCGUCACACCAUGGGAGUUGGUUCUACCUUAAGGCAAGGUUUUAAACCCUUGACCACGGUAUAGUCAGCGACUGGGGUGAAGUCGUAACAAGGUA
rnacentral:rRNA from 1 species